rnacentral:rRNA from 1 species
UACGAAGGGGGCUAGCGUUGCUCGGAAUCACUGGGCGUAAAGCGCACGUAGGCGGCUUUCUAAGUCAGGGGUGAAAUCCUGGAGCUCAACUCCAGAACUGCCUUUGAUACUGGAGAGCUUGAGUCCGGGAGAGGUGAGUGGAACUCCGAGUGUAGAGGUGAAAUUCGUAGAUAUUCGGAAGAACACCAGUGGCGAAAGGCGGCUCACUGGCCCGGUACUGACGCUGAUGUGCGAAAGCGUGGGGAGCAAACAGG